rnacentral:lncRNA from 1 species
AGAAAGAAGAAGAAGAAGAAGAAGAAGAAGACGAAGAAGAAGAAGAAGAAGAAGAAAAAGAAUAGAAGGAGAAAAGAGGAGGGGGAGUAGGAGGAGAAAAAAGAAGAAGAAGAAGAAGAAGAAGAAAAAGAGGAGAGAGGAGAAGAAGAAAGAAGAGGAAAAGGGAACCCCCGGCACCCCGAAACUGACCCUCGACCCC